rnacentral:lncRNA from 1 species
CCACGUCCGACGCACCACCAAACAGAACACGCGCAUUGACACCAACCCGUGCAAUCCCUACCUCGACGUCCACCCCACCGGAAGGUAUACAAUCCAAAUCCCAGACACAUACACUGAUGAACGCACCCUCGCCCACGUCUACAACCCUACCGGACGCCACAUAGCAUCCGUUACGCUAGGUACCUUGCUGACUCUUAAAGCUCGGUAUGAACACGCCCUAUCUACCCACCAUGACGCAACCAGCCCGCACCGAUCUCAAGGGGGCUUCCCGGAAGACUUGGCUAAACUGCUACUCCGCACACGGGUAGACAGCAAAGGCAAGACAUGCAAGUCGGCCCCCGCACGUGAGCGCUCUCUCCCCGAGUCCCUGAAGCUGGCGCUGUAUAACUGCCUUGCCUCGACACACUCAGAC